CCCAGGGUGCACACGCGACUGAGGGUAGGGCAGAGGUGCUAGGCUGAUGGGCAGAGUCCUCACCAUUCCAGGGCGUCUCCAUGGCCGGGCCAUCCUAGGGCAAGCUCUAGGGUCAGGGUGCGGAGUCCUGCGUCCCCUGGGCCACAGGGCGCGCGGGAGUGGGGCCCCGCCCCCUUGUACCAAGGAUGGCCAUUCUCAGGUGCCCUGAGGCCCCCAGCCUGGGAGAAGCAUGCCUGGCUUUGAUUCCCCGUCAGGGACCCACCGUGCCCUUGGAAAAGGCCUUCCACUCCCUGGGGUCCUUACCGGCCCAGAGCAGCUGGACUUGCAGGACAGCGGGGGUCCUGGGUGGUGCAGGGGAGGCCGAACCCUGCAUGUGGAGGGGGGUGUCCUUGCUUGCAGCCUCGGGCUCCCGUUUGGAAGUGUAUGGGGUAGACUGGACACCCCCCUUACGAGUGGACUGCGCUCCCCCGGGCCAGUGGAGGGAAAGAGGGGUCAAGGGAGCCUUCCGACACCCCUCUCAUCUCUCCUGGAGUUUACAGCUCCCCUUCAUUGGCCCCCUCAGCCCUGAGAGUCUUACUGCCUUGAGGACACCCACACCCAGGUCCACUCCACGGGAGGACUGGAGCACAGAGGUCUGAUACAAUAGCCGAAUCUAAGCUGCACAACUCUAUACCUCUAACAAGCAGUUUUGAAAAUACGCUGAUAUUAUCAUUUUUAUAAAGAAAAUCAAUUCAAAAUUAUGCAUGUUUCAAGAAGUUGGAGAUAAUUUCCUUUAUUUCGAGGAAGACAAUACUGCACUAUGGGAAGAUGGACAAGGUUAGUUCCAGCACAGAGAGUCAAGCUCACGACAGACAUUGGCCUGGACACACAGAAGGGCAGGGUUCAAUACUCUCCACCAAGCAAGAAAAUCCUUCUGUUUCCAGGCUACUGGGAAAGCUAGUUCAGAAAAGGUGGGCUCCAUAUGCUCUUAUUCCUUUCUGCACCCCUAAAAUCCUGAGACAAAGACAUAUUCCUAAACUAGGCAAAUGUUCAAGCAGUCAUUGUAGAUUCUGAAACCAAAGGGACGUGUGAUUCGCUUCUUGUUGUAUUUAUUUGUUGUGUUGUUUUUGUUAGUGUUACCCUUCCAAGUCAUAAUAAGUAACAUUUGAGAAGCUGCACUAAGGUGUCAAAUUUCGCUCUUGAUUACAGGUAAAGUACGAUUUCAACAAAUAUUAUUUUAAAUGAUUUCUUAACAACACAAUGUCCUCAUUCUGGCAGAUGGGCCAAAGAGGGUUA
rnacentral:lncRNA from 1 species